AUACGAUGGGUGCGAGCGUUAAUCGGAAUUACUGGGCGUAAAGCGCGCGUAGGCGGUUGGAUAAGUCGGAUGUGAAAGCCCCGGGCUCAACCUGGGAAUUGCAUUCGAAACUGUCCGGCUAGAGUAUGGUAGAGGGAAGCGGAAUUCCACAUGUAGCGGUGAAAUGCGUAGAUAUGUGGAGGAACACCAGUGGCGAAGGCGGCUUCCUGGACCAAUACUGCCGCUGCGGUGCGAAAGCGUGGGGAGCAAACAGGAUUAGAUACCCUAGUAGUCC
rnacentral:rRNA from 1 species